rnacentral:rRNA from 1 species
UACGUAGGGAGCAAGCGUUUGUCCGGAAUCAUUGGGCGUAAAGCGCGCGUAGGCGGCCCUGUAAGUCCGCUGUGAAAGUCAAAGGCUCAACCUUUGAAAGCCGGUGGAUACUGCAGGGCUAGAGUCCGGAAGAGGCGAGUGGAAUUCCUGGUGUAGCGGUGGAAUGCGCAGAUAUCAGGAGGAACACCAAUAGCGAAGGCAGCUCGCUGGGACGGUACUGACGCUAAGGCGCGAAAGCGUGGGGAGCGAACAGG